rnacentral:rRNA from 1 species
UACAGAGGUCUCAAGCGUUGUUCGGAUUCAUUGGGCGUAAAGGGUGUGUAGGUGGCGCGCUAAGUCGGGUGUGAAAUUUCGGAGCUUAACUCCGAAACUGCAUUCGAUACUGGCGUGCUUGAGGACUGGGAGAGGAGACUGGAAUUUACGGUGUAGCAGUGAAAUGCGUAGAUAUCGUAAGGAACACCUGUGGCGAAGGCGGCUCACUGGACCGGUUCUGACGCUGAGGCGCGAAAGCGUGGGGAGCAAACGGG